GACAGAGGUGCCGAGCGUUAGGCGGAAUCACUGGGCUUAAAGCGUGUGUAGGCGGGCGAUCAAGUACCUUGUGAAAUCCCACGGCUCAACCGUGGAACCGCUGGGUAUACUGGUUGUCUUGAGCCGGCUAGGGGCGAGCGGAACAGACGGUGGAGCGGUGAAAUGCGUAGAUAUCGUCUGGAACGCCGAAGGUGAAAACAGCUCGCUGGGGCCGCGCCGACGCUGAGACACGAAAGCCAGGGGAGCGAACGGG
rnacentral:rRNA from 1 species